rnacentral:rRNA from 1 species
AGAGUUUGAUCAUGGCUCAGGAUGAACGCUAGCGGCAGGCCUAACAUAAGCAAGUCGAGGGGUAACAGGAGGAAGCUUGCUUCUUUGCUGACGACCGGCGCACGGGUGCGCACCGCGUAUGGAAUCUGCCUCUUGCAGGGGAAUAGCCCAUGGAAACGUGGAUUAAUGCCCCAUAGUACUUAUUUACGGCAUUGUGAAUAAGUUAAAGGUUUCGGCCGGCAAGAGAUGACCAUGCGUCCCAUUAGCUAGAUGGUAAGGUAACGGCUUACCAUGGCGACGAUGGGUAGGGGCCCUGAGAGGGGGAUCCCCCACACUGGUACUGAGACACGGACCAGACUCCUACGGGAGGCAGCAGUGAGGAAUAUUGGACAAUGGGCGAGAGCCUGAUCCAGCCAUGCCGCGUGCAGGAAGACGGCCCUAUGGGUUGUAAACUGCUUUUAUACAGGAAGAAAAAGGGGUACGUGUACCCCACUGACGGUACUGUAAGAAUAAGGACCGGCUAACUCCGUGCCAGCAGCCGCGGUAAUACGGAGGGUCCGAGCGUUAUCCGGAAUUAUUGGGUUUAAAGGGUCCGUAGGCGGGUCAUUAAGUCAGAGGUGAAAGUUUGCAGCUCAACUGUAAAAUUGCCUUUGAUACUGGUGGUCUUGAGUUAUGGUGAAGUGGCUGGAAUAUGUAGUGUAGCGGUGAAAUGCAUAGAUAUUACAUAGAACACCGAUUGCGAAGGCAGGUCACUAACCAUAUACUGACGCUGAUGGACGAAAGCGUGGGGAGCGAACAGGAUUAGAUACCCUGGUAGUCCACGCCGUAAACGAUGGAUACUAGCUGUCCGGGACUUUAAGUUCUGGGCGGCCAAGCGAAAGUGAUAAGUAUCCCACCUGGGGAGUACGUUCGCAAGAAUGAAACUCAAAGGAAUUGACGGGGCCCGCACAAGCGGUGGAGCAUGUGGUUUAAUUCGAUGAUACGCGAAGAACCUUACCUACUCUUGACAUCCAGAGAAUUCGCUAGAGAUAGCUUAGUGCCUUCGGGAACUCUGAGACAGGUGCUGCAUGGCUGUCGUCAGCUCGUGUUGUGAAAUGUUGGGUUAAGUCCCGCAACGAGCGCAACCCUUAUCCUUAUUUGCCAGCACGUAAUGGUGGGAACUUUAGGGAGACUGCCGGUGAUAAACCGGAGGAAGGUGGGGACGACGUCAAGUCAUCAUGGCCCUUACGAGUAGGGCUACACAUGUGCUACAAUGGUCGGUACAGAGGGUUGCGAAGCCGCGAGGUGGAGCUAAUCUCACAAAGCCGGUCGUAGUCCGGAUUGGAGUCUGCAACUCGACUCCAUGAAGUCGGAAUCGCUAGUAAUCGUAGAUCAGAAUGCUACGGUGAAUACGUUCCCGGGCCUUGUACACACCGCCCGUCACACCAUGGGAGUGGGCUGCACCAGAAGUAGAUAGCUUAACCUUCGGGAGGGCGUUUACCACGGUGUGGUUCAUGACUGGGGUGAAGUCGUAACAAGGUAACCGUA